rnacentral:rRNA from 1 species
AACGCUGGCGGCGUGCCUAAUACAUGCAAGUCGAACGGUCUUUCUAUGGAAGCUUGCUUCCACUGAGAAGAUAGUGGCGAACGGGUGAGUAACACGUGGGUAACCUGCCCAUAAGAGGGGGAUAACAUCCGGAAACGGGUGCUAAUACCGCAUAGUUUUCUUGAUCGCAUGAUCGGGAAAGGAAAGACGGCCUUUGUGCUGUCGCUUAUGGAUGGACCCGCGGCGUAUUAGUUAGUUGGUGAGGUAACGGCUCACCAAGACGAUGAUACGUAGCCGACCUGAGAGGGUGAUCGGCCACAUUGGGACUGAGACACGGCCCAAACUCCUACGGGAGGCAGCAGUAGGGAAUAUUGCACAAUGGGGGAAACCCUGAUGCCAGCAACGCCGCGUGAGUGAUGACGGCCUUCGGGUUGUAAAGCUCUGUCUUCAGGGACGAUAAUGACGGUACCUGAGGAGGAAGCCACGGCUAACUACGUGCCAGCCGCCGC